AUUGAACGCUAGCGGGAUGCCUUACACAUGCAAGUCGAACGGAGUGGCGAACGGGUGCGUAAUGUAUCGGAACGUGCCCAGUAGCGGGGGAUAACUACGCGAAAGGGUAGCUAAUACCGCAAACUAUCGGAGCGGCCGAUAUCGGAUUAGCUAGUGGGUGGGGUAACGGCUUACCAAGGCCACGAUCCGUAGCUGGUUUGAGAGGACGACCAGCCACACUGGGACUGAGACACUGCCCAGACUCCUACGGGAGGCAGCAGUGGGGAAGUUUGGACAAUGGGGGAAACCCUGAUCCAGCCAUGCCGCGUGUGCGAUGAAGGCCUUCGGGUUGUAAAGUACUUUUGGCAGGAAGGCGGUACCUGCAGAAUAAGCACCGGCUAACUACGUGCCAGCCGCCGCGGUAAUAC
rnacentral:rRNA from 1 species